UACGUAGGGUGCAAGCGUUGUCCGGAAUUAUUGGGCGUAAAGAGCUCGUAGGCGGUUUGUUGCGUCGGCUGUGAAAUCCCGAGGCUCAACCUCGGGUCUGCAGUCGAUACGAGCAAACUAGAGUGUUGCAGGGGAGACUGGAAUUCCUGGUGUAGCGGUGAAAUGCGCAGAUAUCAGGAGGAACAUCGGUGGCGAAGGCGGGUCUCUGGGCAACAACUGACGCUGAGGAGCGAAAGCGUGGGGAGCGAACAGG
rnacentral:rRNA from 1 species